GGGUUACGUCAUGUCCCUGUUGUAAGGCAGGGUUACGUCAUGUCCCUGCUCUAAGGCAGGGUUACGUCAUGUCCCUGUUCUAAGGCAGGGUUACGUCAUGUCCUUGUUCUAAGGCAGGGUUACGUCAUGUCCCUUUUGUAAGGCAGGGUUAUGUCAUGUCCCUGUUGUAAGGCAGGGUUACGUCAUGUCCCUGUUGUAAGGCAGGGUUACAUCAUGUCCCUGUUGUAAGGCAGGGUUACGUCAUGUCCCUGUUGUAAGGCAGGGUUACAUCAUGUCCCUGUUGUAAGGCAGGGUUACGUCAUGUCCCUGUUGUAAGGCAGUGUUACGUCAUGUCCCUGUUGUAAGACAGGGUUACGUCAUGUCCCUGUUCUAAGGCAGGGUUACGUCAUGUCCUUGUUGUAAGGCAGGGUUACGUCAUGUCCCUGUUGUAAGGCAGGGUUACGUCAUGUCCCUGUUGUAAGGCAGGGUUACGUCAUGUACCUGCUCUAAGGCAGGGCUACGUCAUGUCCCUGUUGUAAAGCAGGGUUACGUCAUGUCCCUGUUGUAAGGCAGGGUUACGUCAUGUCCCUGUUCUAAGGCAGGGUUACGUCAUGUCCUUGUUCUAAGGCAGGGUUACGUCAUGUCCCUUUUGUAAGGCAGGGUUACGUCAUGUCCCUGUUGUAAGGCAGGGUUACGUCAUGUCCCUGUUGUAAGGCAGGGUUACGUCAUGUCCCUGUUGUAAGGCAGGGUUACGUCAUGUCCCUGUUGUAAGGCAGGGUUACGUCAUGUCCCUGCUGUAAGGCAGGGUUACGUCACGUCCAUGUUCUAAGGCAGGGUUAUGUCAUGUCCAUGUUGUAAGGCAGGGUUACGUCAUUUCCCUGUUCUAAG
rnacentral:lncRNA from 1 species